UUUGGUUAAGUUAGAAAGGGCGCACGGUGGAUGCCUUGACACUAGGAGUCGAUGAAGGACGGGACUAACGCCGAUAUGCUUCGGGGAGCUGUAAGUAAGCUUUGAUCCGAAGAUUUCCGAAUGGGGAAACCCACCAUACGUAAUGGUAUGGUAUCCUUAUCUGAAUACAUAGGAUAAGGAAGACAGACCCAGGGAACUGAAACAUCUAAGUACCUGGAGGAAGAGAAAGCAAAUGCGAUUUCCUGAGUAGCGGCGAGCGAAACGGAACAUAGCCCAAACCAAGAGGCUUGCCUCUUGGGGUUGUAGGACAUUCUAUACGGAGUUACAAAGGAACGAGGUAGACGAAGCGACCUGGAAAGGUCCGUCGUAGAGGGUAACAACCCCGUAGUCGAAACUUCGUUCUCUCUUGAAUGUAUCCUGAGUACGGCGGAACACGUGAAAUUCCGUCGGAAUCUGGGAGGACCAUCUCCCAAGGCUAAAUACUCCCUAGUGAUCGAUAGUGAACCAGUACCGUGAGGGAAAGGUGAAAAGCACCCCGGAAGGGGAGUGAAAGAGAUCCUGAAACCGUGUGCCUACAAAUAGUCAGAGCCCGUUAACGGGUGAUGGCGUGCCUUUUGUAGAAUGAACCGGCGAGUUACGAUCCCGUGCGAGGUUAAGCUGAAGAGGCGGAGCCGCAGCGAAAGCGAGUCUGAAUAGGGCGUUUAGUACGUGGUCGUAGACCCGAAACCAGGUGAUCUACCCAUGUCCAGGGUGAAGUUCAGGUAACACUGAAUGGAGGCCCGAACCCACGCACGUUGAAAAGUGCGGGGAUGAGGUGUGGGUAGCGGAGAAAUUCCAAUCGAACCUGGAGAUAGCUGGUUCUCCCCGAAAUAGCUUUAGGGCUAGCCUUAAGUGUAAGAGUCUUGGAGGUAGAGCACUGAUUGGACUAGGGGUCCUCAUCGGAUUACCGAAUUCAGUCAAACUCCGAAUGCCAAUGACUUAUCCUUAGGAGUCAGACUGCGAGUGAUAAGAUCCGUAGUCAAAAGGGAAACAGCCCAGACCGCCAGCUAAGGUCCCAAAGUGUGUAUUAAGUGGAAAAGGAUGUGGAGUUGCUUAGACAACUAGGAUGUUGGCUUAGAAGCAGCCACCAUUUAAAGAGUGCGUAAUAGCUCACUAGUCGAGUGACUCUGCGCCGAAAAUGUACCGGGGCUAAAUACACCACCGAAGCUGCGGAUUGAUACCAAUGGUAUCAGUGGUAGGGGAGCGUUCUAAGGACAGUGAAGUCAGACCGUAAGGACUGGUGGAGUGCUUAGAAGUGAGAAUGCCGGUAUGAGUAGCGAAAGACGGGUGAGAAUCCCGUCCACCGAAUGCCUAAGGUUUCCUGAGGAAGGCUCGUCCGCUCAGGGUUAGUCAGGACCUAAGCCGAGGCCGACAGGCGUAGGCGAUGGACAACAGGUUGAUAUUCCUGUACCACCUCUUUAUCGUUUGAGCAAUGGAGGGACGCAGAAGGAUAGAAGAAGCGUGCGAUUGGUUGUGCACGUCCAAGCAGUUAGGCUGAUAAGUAGGCAAAUCCGCUUAUCAUAAAGGCUGAGCUGUGAUGGGGAAGCUCCUUAUGGAGCGAAGUCUUUGAUUCCCCGCUGCCAAGAAAAGCUUCUAGCGAGAUAAAAGGUGCCUGUACCGCAAACCGACACAGGUAGGCGAGGAGAGAAUCCUAAGGUGUGCGAGAGAACUCUGGUUAAGGAACUCGGCAAAAUGACCCCGUAACUUCGGGAGAAGGGGUGCUUUCUUAACGGAAAGCCGCAGUGAAUAGGCCCAAGCGACUGUUUAGCAAAAACACAGCUCUCUGCGAAGCCGUAAGGCGAAGUAUAGGGGGUGACACCUGCCCGGUGCUGGAAGGUUAAGGAGAGGGGUUAGCGUAAGCGAAGCUCUGAACUGAAGCCCCAGUAAACGGCGGCCGUAACUAUAACGGUCCUAAGGUAGCGAAAUUCCUUGUCGGGUAAGUUCCGACCCGCACGAAAGGUGUAACGAUUUGGGCACUGUCUCAACCAGAGACUCGGUGAAAUUAUAGUACCUGUGAAGAUGCAGGUUACCCGCGACAGGACGGAAAGACCCCGUGGAGCUUUACUGUAGCCUGAUAUUGAAUUUUGGUACAGUUUGUACAGGAUAGGCGGGAGCCAUUGAAACCGGAGCGCUAGCUUCGGUGGAGGCGCUGGUGGGAUACCGCCCUGACUGUAUUGAAAUUCUAACCUACGGGUCUUAUCGACCCGGGAGACAGUGUCAGGUGGGCAGUUUGACUGGGGCGGUCGCCUCCUAAAGUGUAACGGAGGCGCCCAAAGGUUCCCUCAGAAUGGUUGGAAAUCAUUCGUAGAGUGCAAAGGCAUAAGGGAGCUUGACUGCGAGACCUACAAGUCGAGCAGGGACGAAAGUCGGGCUUAGUGAUCCGGUGGUUCCGCAUGGAAGGGCCAUCGCUCAACGGAUAAAAGCUACCCCGGGGAUAACAGGCUUAUCUCCCCCAAGAGUCCACAUCGACGGGGAGGUUUGGCACCUCGAUGUCGGCUCAUCGCAUCCUGGGGCUGUAGUCGGUCCCAAGGGUUGGGCUGUUCGCCCAUUAAAGCGGUACGCGAGCUGGGUUCAGAACGUCGUGAGACAGUUCGGUCCCUAUCCGUCGUGGGCGUAGGAAAUUUGAGAGGAGCUGUCCUUAGUACGAGAGGACCGGGAUGGACGCACCGCUGGUGUACCAGUUGUUCUGCCAAGGGCAUAGCUGGGUAGCUAUGUGCGGAAGGGAUAAGUGCUGAAAGCAUCUAAGCAUGAAGCCCCCCUCAAGAUGAGAUUUCCCAUAGCGUAAGCUAGUAAGAUCCCUGAAAGAUGAUCAGGUUGAUAGGUUCGAGGUGGAAGCAUGGUGACAUGUGGAGCUGACGAAUACUAAUAGAUCGAGGAAUUAACUAUACAA
rnacentral:rRNA from 1 species